AUCCCAUGAUAAGGACACUUACGAAGUAACUCCUUGAAUCGCUCCCAUGCCUCAUACAAAGACUCAUCUUCCAAUUGUUGGAAAGUUGUGAUCUUGUUCCUUAACUU
rfam:Gossypium raimondii chromosome 13, whole genome shotgun sequence.